rnacentral:rRNA from 1 species
GACGAACGCUGGCGGCGUGCUUAACACAUGCAAGUCGAACGGUGAAGCGCCUUCCUUUUUGGUGGGUGUGGAUGAGUGGCGAACGGGUGAGUAACACGUGAGUAACCUGCCCCCUUCUUCUGGAUAACCGCAUGAAAGUGUGGCUAAUACGGGAUAUUCUGGGUCUGUCGCAUGAUGGGUCUGGGAAAGAUAUUGUUUCGGUGGGGGAUGGGCUCGCGGCCUAUCAGCUUGUUGGUGGGGUGAUGGCCUACCAAGGCGGUGACGGGUAGCCGGCCUGAGAGGGUGGACGGUCACACUGGGACUGUGACACGGGCCAGACUCCUACGGGAGGCAGCAGUGGGGAAUAUUGCACAAUGGGCGCAAGCCUGAUGCAGCGACGCCGCGUGAGGGAUGGAGGCCUUCGGGUUGUGAACCUCUUUCGCCAGUGAAGCAGGCCUGCCUCGUUUGUGGGUGGGUUGACGGUAGCUGGAUAAGAAGCGCCGGCUAACUACGUG